GGGACUCAUCGGGUUAAGAAACCAACAUAGUAUCCUUGAGGAUGUGGGUUUGAUCCUGGCUUUGUUCAGUGGGUAAAGGAGCUGGUGUUGUCACAAGACNCUGCCAGCCUGCACCACAGCCACAGCAAUGUGGGAUCUGAGCUGCAUCUGCAACCUACACCAUAGCUCAUGGCAAGGCCGGAUCCUUAACCCACUGAGUGAGGCCAGGGAUCAAACCUGCCUCGUCGUGGAUACUAGUCAGGUUUGUAACCCACUUGAUCCACAAUGGGAACACUGAUGAUUUCUUUUUAAAUCGUGGUUUGCCCUCUCUUCACUGUUGCCUCUGAAAUGCUUAGACCUUCUUGUUAUCCCUGGCAGGUGGUAGGAGCCUGUGGGCCCAUUGUGUCCUGGAUGAAUCCGAUUUAAGUGCUAAGAAUGUGCUCCCAAUUGUAGAUUCUUCACUGAGCAAAAUGACCAUGACUUCUUGGGUAUUGUAUGAGGGCGAUGAUUGCAUAUAAAGGGCUGAGCCCAUCCUUUACAGCAAUGAGGCUGGGCUGCAGAUGCUGGGAUCAGUCUUCUCGGAGAGUAUUUCUCUAGCAUUCUUCUCACUGGCUGACACCUACAAUGAGACACGGACCCUACUAUGUAAGGAGAAAACUUCUAACUCUGGGAGCUUGCAGUGUGUGCACGUGUGUGUGUGUGUGUGUGUGUGUGUGAGAGAGAGAGAGAGAGAGAGAGAGAGAGAAUGUUUAUAGCCCAAAGGUAGUUUUCUGGUGCUUUGCUUUGUUUCAUUUUGGGGGGAGUUGUAAAGUUAAAUAAAAGGCACUUAGUCCAAAACUUUAAAAAAUUGCUACUGGGCAAAGUAAUUUUGUGUCAGGCUUCUGUUCAGGGCAGAUUUACACUGGUUAUAAAUCUCGGAAAUUAAGGUCUUACCGUAGAAAAGCUGAGAUGUAUUCAAUAUUAGCAGACACCCAGCCUUGCUCGGAUCCAGUGGCCGUUCUCCUUCCAUGUAUAAUAAGAAUAGCUGGCUAUGUGUUUGGGGUAAUAAUAAGUUUAAAUAUGCCUCUUAGAAUGGGUAACGGCUCUCCAAUGAGUAGUGGGGUCCUCUAUCAACAAUUCAUUCCCUGGAAUCAAAGGUUAAGUUGAAGAGUUUAAUUUAAUGACAAAUUGAAUUAGGUCUUUAUCAUUCCAGGGUUCUUUCCUUUCGUUUUCUAAUCAAGAGCAUGGUCUUGGAGUUCCCACUGUGGCACAGUGGGCUAAGGACCCAAGCGUAGUGGCUGAGUUCACUCCUGAGGUGUGGGUUCAAUCCCAGCCUGGUGCGGUGGGUUAAGGAUCCAGCACUGCCACAGCUGCAGCUUGUGUUCAAUCCCUAGCCCUGAACUUCCAUAGCCAGGGGUACAAAAAUAAAGGAAAAUGAAAAGUUCAUGGUCUACAGUCAACAAUUCUGCAGAAGUUGGGGAACAUCAUGUUUCUGUUUCUGUACACAGUUCUCACACUGUUCUUCUGCUGUUUGGAAAAGGUUUGGAUAAGAUUGGGAGUGCUUAGAAAUUUCUGAGUUUGACCAAGAGCCUGGAAAAUGCCUCCUCGUCCUAAAUUAUUUCUUCCUUCCCUUCACCAGACCUUAGAUUUAUGAUAUACUUGAGGAAUCCUCUGGUCAGUCCAUUCACUUUGCAGUAUGGGAAACUGAGGCCAAGUAAUGAAGAAAUUUAUUGGUAGUUGCCUGGGUCAUUUGGGGCAGGGUAAUGGAUUUCCUCAGGUCUUCCCACCUCCUUCUUCUGAUCAAAAAUGUCUAGCUGCCAGCACUCAUACUCAGGGAAAAGCAAAACCUCUUCUUGGCUUAUGGAAUUUAUGGACCACUUUCCUAGAGCACUUUUUCCUACUACUUUUCAAGGCAGUUGUACCACCUUUGUUCUCAUCCAUUGAGUACCAGUGAAGACUGUUGGUUGCAAAUGAAAGUAACUGCCUCUUGCUCUCUUAAACACUCCCCCUCCCCCCGCAAAAAAAAAAAAAAAAUCUGAGAAAACACUAAAAAAGAGAAUCCAUUUUAUACGAGCUUCUCAGAAUGGACUGUGGACUGGAGGAUGGAAUGAAGGGAAGGGGUGCAUAUCAAAGCAGGGUCACAAGUUCCAGAAACUUUCUGGAUCUCAGAACCUGAGCCUCCGUCACUUGAGGCUGCUCCAUCACAGAUGAGUUGUCAUUGCCCUGUGUCUUUGUCUCACUGUUCCUGAUCCUAAGUCCAGGUGGGAGAUAUCCAAGGGCUGAGCAGAGGGACUUGCCAAUCCUUUGACUGCCAGGCAGAUAUGGACUCAUUGGGUUCUACUGGGACUCAGAGAAGCCACUGCUCAGUACAGGACCUCACACAAUGAGGAAUUCCCAAAACAAGAGAAAGCAAAGGCAUUCAGGUUUUGCAUGAUCCAAAACUUAAGCCAUGUCCAAGGUAAAAGGCUUUAUGGGUCACUCUGAAGCCUGACUGUGCUUUAUAAAUCUACCUCAAUGGGAAAAUAUAGUCCAAAUUAUAGAAUAAUUCACGGGUAACUUUAGGGUGCAAUUUACUUCUGGGCUUGGCCAUACUUAUAUCUUAAAUAAGGGUGUGCUGGUUCAGAAACUUUACCUUGAAGUGAAGGUACCAUUAAUCGAAGUGUAACUAUUAUGGCAGUAUUUGGGGACAGUACAGGAGAUGAUAUGUGAAGCUACUUUUGGAAACAUUGACUUCAAAAAUGCUAAAAUCAUUUAUCUGUGCAUCUUUCCACAUAGGAAAUUCCCUGGCACUAUACUGGGUGUUCCUUACACGGAAGUGGCUGAAAUGGCUAUGUUGUGCCCUCCUGCCUUUUAGGCUUAAGUCUGGUUCAAAUGCAAAGUACUUUGACUUCGCACUUUACAUAAAAUAAUCAAAUGCAAAAAAGAAUAUGGAGGGAGGAAAAUUUUAGUUGUAGAUAAACAAUUCAAGAGCCUGUUCUACAUGGAGGGGAUAGACAAUAAGGUCCUACUGUAUACCACAGAGAACUAACUGUGUUCAAUAUCCUAUGAUAAAUGAUAAUGGAAAAGAAUAUUAAAAAAUAGUGAAUAUACAUAUAUAACUGAGUCACUUUGCCAUAUAGUAGAAAUUAACACAGUAUCAUAAAUUAACUAUACUUCAAUUAAAAAAAGAAAAAA
rnacentral:lncRNA from 1 species